rnacentral:rRNA from 1 species
GACGUAGGGCGCGAGCGUUGUCCGGAUUUAUUGGGCGUAAAGAGCUCGUAGGUGGUUUGUCGCGUUGUUCGUGAAAACUCACAGCUCAACUGUGGGCGUGCGGGCGAUACGGGCAGACUAGAGUACUGCAGGGGAGACUGGAAUUCCUGGUGUAGCGGUGGAAUGCGCAGAUAUCAGGAGGAACACCGGUGGCGAAGGCAGGGUCCUGGCUGGUACCUGACGCUCGUGGGCGAAAGCUAGGGAGCGAACGGG